rnacentral:rRNA from 1 species
AUGGGCGAAAGCCUGAUCCAGCAAUGCCGCGUGUGUGAAGAAGGCCUGCGGGUUGUAAAGCACUUUCAGUUGGGAAGAUGAUGACGUUACCAACAGAAGAAGCACCGGCUAACUCUGUGCCAGCAGCCGCGGUAAUACAGAGGGUGCGAGCGUUAAUCGGAAUUACUGGGCGUAAAGCGUGCGUAGGCGGUUUAGUAAGUCAGAUGUGAAAGCCCUGGGCUUAACCUGGGAACUGCAUUUGAAACUGCUGAACUAGAGUGUGGUAGAGGGAAGUGGAAUUCCGGGUGUAGCGGUGAAAUGCGUAGAUAUCCGGAGGAACACCAGUGGCGAAGGCGACUUCCUGGACCAACACUGACGCUGAGAUACGAAAGCGUGGGUAGCAAACAGGAUUAGAUACCCUGGUAGUCCACGCCGUAAACGAUGUCAACUAGUUGUUGGGAGCAUUUUGCGCUUUUAGUAACGUAGCUAACGCGAUAGGUUGCCGCCUGCGGGAGUACGGCCGCAAGGUUAU